AAUGCUGCGAUGUCAGGAAUGUGGAACUGCGAAUGACUUCGAGCUGGGUGAUGGUACAGGUUACUGCAGAGUGUGUGGUACCCAGUCUCAGGACAUCAGAGAGGAGGUGGUGGAACUGGACGAUACCUUAUUCACCCAACAUAACGCUAGUGUCAGGCGAGUAGCCAAAGGUUUGAACAGCACCAAGACCACUGGGAUCCCGGACAGAAUAUGGACGGUAACAGAAGCCGUACAAGCAAUCCUCCUGAUCCAAACCAACGGUCUCAUCAGUCAAGGAAUCCCAGAGCAGCUAACAAACGUUGUAGGAAACCUCUGGUUCCGGUUCCUUGCUAAGAUCGGAACUAUAAACGUGCCGAAAGUGGAGCCAGUUGUUUUGACUGAUAUCUAUAAGAUCAGUAUUUUUGAUAACUUGGCUAUCCUGUAUUUAUCCCUACUUUCUAUACACUAUCCGGUGCUGUGUUGUGAUAUCCUGAGUUGGAUAGGUGAUGGGACUUUGUGCUAUUUCAACACAAUUCGAUUGUUGCCUGAAAAGAACGUUGUUCAGCGUGGUUCAGUCAGGUCUUGUUUCUGAGCUAGCGUUCGAGCUCCUAGACAAAUAUUACUCCUUGCUACUUGACAAAGAGUGCUCAGUAGAAGCUGUUCUCGGAACAAGCCCUGAAGAACAGUGCGAUAAUCAGAUCUACAAGUUCCAGAUCCUUCUCCUCCUCAACCCCACCUCCUCUCUCCUCGCCACCUCCCACAACCUCAGCACUGAGUUCAAGUAUGACUUCUAUGGUUCUGCCUCCUUGUUUCCCAUCAGGCUUACUUCAUAAUUGUCAUCUACAUUUUUUUUCUUUAAAAAAAAAAGCCUUGUUUGGAUCUUGAAUUCUCGAGGAUCUUAUUUACUUUGUUAACAUUUCUUUGUUUUUUUUUUUUUUAAUGCUUUGUUUGGAUCUUGAAUUCUUGGUGAUCUUUUUAAGCUCUGGUUUGUCGUUAUAAGCUGAUAGAUAAUAUAAGAUCCUAAAGUCAUUCUGAUUACAACUUGUUUUCUUCAAGAAACAAAUUGAUUGAUUCAAAGAUUGAUGUAAAACAAUAAUCUCGCUCCAGACACUUUUAGACUUACCAUCAUCAUCCAAUUAAACCAAGAAAUUUUUAAAAGUUUAGAAUAAUUGAAAUCUCGAACCAUAUUUAUAACAUCAUGGUUUUGAAAUGAAAGACAGCAUUUUUUUCAGGUACUACUAGUCAUAGACAUAGAAAAUGUUCGUUGUUGAUUGAUCUCUAUUGGCUUUUAUCGAUGAAUGCUUAUAUAAAUGACAUUACUUCUUCGUUGAAUUGACAGAUGAUGAAUCAAUUUAGAAUUUCAACAGAAAUUUUAUUGUUGUUUUAACCUUCUUUAACUUGUUGGUGAUUGCUUUUAGAUACAAAAUUAUUAAUUAUAAUAUAGAUUGUUGACGAUUGUUGAUUAAGAUGCAUAAUUUCGUUUCAUACGUUUAGAUAUAAUAUCGAUUUGUAUCAAUUAAUUUAUUAAAUGUGCUGGCCACGAUGUUUUUAUUGCAUGACACACGUUUUAACCAGAAGUACAGAUAUUUACCAUUUUGACCAAUUGAUUAAAUAGUCUACAUUAAAAUGUACACCGCCAAUGUUUUGAAAACCUAAGUUUUGCCUUUUACAGUUACGUUUUAAACCAACUCGUCUGAUUUGGGGUGUUUUACUGUGAAUUUUAUCCGAUGAUAAAUAUUUCUAUUUUGUAUGACAG